rnacentral:pre_miRNA from 1 species
AGAUAUUACAGUUUGCCUUUAAGUAGGAGCAAAUUACUUUGUAAAAAAAAAUCCUAGAUGGCUUUCCCUUUAAAUCAUGUGUCUUUU